CUUUGCUGCUCUCUUCUUCAUCAUAAGAUUCAUAUGAGCUGCUAACAGCUUCACCAUCUUCAUUCAUAGAGACAUCGUAUGGCUCAGCCUCUUCGUAAUAUCCCUCUGGGGACUCGAUCUUGGGAACCGAAGGCUGCUUUGUUUCGGGAAUCUUUGGAGGGGGCAGCUCUGGAAGGCUCUUCUGGGGAGGGGAUGAAUGCAGUCCCAGGUCUCCAUUGGUCAAGGAGUUUUUCCCAUCCAGUGCUUUGUCUUGCUUCUCCUGGUCACCCUGCUGUCUGUUGACAGUCACUUUAUUCAUGUAAAUAUAUUCUUCAUCACCACCGCUGGACUUG
rnacentral:lncRNA from 1 species